UACGAAGGGGGCUAGCGUUGCUCGGAAUCACUGGGCGUAAAGGCGCACGUAGGCGGAUUGCUAAGUCAGGGGUGAAAUCCUGGGAGCUCAACUCCAGAACUGCCUUUGAUACUGGCGAUCUCGAGUCCGGGAGAGGUGAGUGGAACUGGCGAGUGUAGAGGUGAAAUUCGUAGAUAUUCGCAAGAACACCAGUGGCGAAGGCGGACAUCCUGGACCAAUUCUGGACGCUGACGGUAGCGAAAGCCAGGGGAGCAAAGCGGGAUUAAGAAA
rnacentral:rRNA from 1 species